rnacentral:rRNA from 1 species
CCUACGGGGGGCAGCAGUGAGGAAUAUUGGUCAAUGGACGCAAGUCUGAACCAGCCAUGCCGCGUGCAGGAUGACGGCUCUAUGAGUUGUAAACUGCUUUUGUACGAGGGUAAACCCCGAUACGUGUAUCGGGAUGAAAGUAUCGUACGAAUAAGGAUCGGCUAACUCCGUGCCAGCAGCCGCGGUAAUACGGAGGAUCCGAGCGUUAUCCGGAUUUAUUGGGUUUAAAGGGUGCGUAGGCGGUUUGAUAAGUUAGAGGUGAAAUGUCGGGGCUCAACCCCGAAACUGCCUCUAAUACUGUUGGACUUGAGAAUAGUUGCGGUAGGCGGAAUGUAUGGUGUAGCGGUGAAAUGCUUAGAGAUCAUACAGAACACCGAUUGCGAAGGCAGCUUACCAAACUAUAUCUGACGUUGAGGCACGAAAGCGUGGGUAGCAAACAGGAUUAGAUACCCCAGUAGUC